GGACCGCCGGCCUCCUCUUCAUCCUCCCGCGUCCUCCCGGGCUCGCGCCGCUGUCACUGGAGCCCGCAUCCUCCGCCUCCCGCCGCCGCCGCGACCCCGCACCGGGAAUCAAGCCGGCGCGGAAAACCGCAAGCUUGACUCCACGCCCACCUGACUGGACUGAGAAAACCGAAGAAGUUGGUGAGGGUACAGCAAUAAAUAGCAGGAGGAGCAGAAUUUGAAACAGCAGCAUGCCGGUCCUGCGCCUGGUGAAGGAUGACUCGCCAGAAAGCAAAGGCGCAGACCUACCUCCGCGAGCUUGGCGCGUGGCCCAGGAGGCUCCGCGAGCCCUUGGAAACGAGAUUUGGAGCUGCUGCGCGUUGCAGAGCUGCCUCUCUGCUCCCCACAUGGGACCCCUGUGGCUGGCUGGUCUUGAGGAGGAAGGAAUUGAAGCCACCUCAUCCUUGAAGGAGAAUCAGAGAGAUGAUUGAUUCUCCAUGCCUGGCCUCUUUUGUUCCACGUAUGUUUGUGAAGUGUGUCCAUGACGCUGUACACAGCGAUAGCUCACUCAUUGCUGAUAAUGAAGCCCAGCAGCUUACCCAUUUCACUGCAGUAAACAACAUAUUGCUUCUUGUUUGUGUGUCCUGAAUCACGGAGACAUGCACUGUACACUUCCAUGAGUUUGGACAGUUGUCUACAUUUAUACAAACGACCACCUCUGGACUCACUGCUGUUCCAGCUUCUGCAAAUGCUAAGCUCAGCGUUUCCCCACACCAGGUCCGUGUGCUAAAGGUUUUAUUACAGUAUUUCCUAUGCAUGGUUGCAUGCAGUGGACAAUCUUGUCUGCCUGGUUUCAGUGCCUUUCAGACUUGUCCAAACUCUUGCAAGAAUCGAUUGAAUGUACUUAUUGCUGAAUAGAAUUCUAGUAAAAAGUGUUUCUCCAUUCA
rnacentral:lncRNA from 1 species